CAGAGCAGGUCCUGAUCGGUAGUCACUGCUGUGGUGUCUGGAGCCUCUUCUUCUCUCGGGUAUCAGCCAUUUCUCCAGAAUCCCCCUUUAUCCCCGGUGCUGGGGGCUCUGAGAAGCGGGGUCUCUCCAGGAGCAGAUUACACCAUAGUGAAAAAGACAUCGGGGGGGACUCCCAUCAUCCAUGAGUCAGGAGGGUGGAGCAGGACCCCCAUCAGUGAGCCUCCACCCCUGAUACAUGAGCAGAAGAUCCUGGAACUCACCCACAAGAUGAUUGAGCUGCUGACUGGAGAGGUUCCUGUAAGGUGUCAGGAUGUGGCGGUCUAUUUCUCCAUGGAGGAGUGGGAGUAUGUAGAAGGACACAAAGAUCUGUACAAGGAGGCCAAGAUGGAGGCUCCCCGGCCUCUGACAUCACCAGAUGGACUCAUAGAAGGAAAUCCCCCCGAGAGAUGUCCCCGUCCUCUGUAUUCCCAG